rnacentral:rRNA from 1 species
GAUGAACGCUAGCUACAGGCUUAACACAUGCAAGUCGAGGGGAAACGCUGAGAGAGCUUGCUCUCUUAGGCGUCGACCGGCGCACGGGUGAGUAACGCGUAUCCAACCUACCCAUUACAGGGGGAUAACCUUGCGAAAGUAAGACUAAUACCCCAUGGCAUUUUAUGGUGGCAUCAUUAUAGGAUUAAAGAUUUAUUGGUAAUGGAUGGGGAUGCGUCUGAUUAGCUUGUUAGCGGGGUAACGGCCCACCAAGGCAACGAUCAGUAGGGGUUCUGAGAGGAAGGUCCCCCACGUUGGAACGGAGACACGAUCCAAACUCCUACGGGAGGCAGCAGUGAGGAAUAUUGGUCAAUGGGCGAGAGCUUGAACCAGCCAAGUAGCGUGCAGGAUGACGGCCCUAUGGGUUGUAAACUGCUUUUAGAGGGGAAUAAAGUGAGCUACGUGUAGUUUAUUGCAUGUACCCUAUGAAUAAGGACCGGCUAAUUCCGUG